rnacentral:rRNA from 1 species
CCUACGGGGGGCAGCAGUGAGGAAUAUUGGUCAAUGGGCGCAAGCCUGAACCAGCCAAGUCGCGUGAGGGAAGAUGGCCCUACGGGUUGUAAACCUCUUUUGCCGGGGAGCAAGCCUGAGCACGUGUGCCCAGGCGGAGAGUACCCGGAGAAAAAGCAUCGGCUAACUCCGUGCCAGCAGCCGCGGUAAUACGGAGGAUGCGAGCGUUAUCCGGAUUUAUUGGGUUUAAAGGGUGCGUAGGCGGAUUUUUAAGUCAGCGGUAAAAUGUCCGGGCUCAACCCGGGCCGGCCGUUGAAACUGGGGAUCUUGAGUGGGCGAGAAGUAUGCGGAAUGCGUGGUGUAGCGGUGAAAUGCAUAGAUAUCACGCAGAACUCCGAUUGCGAAGGCAGCAUACCGGCGCCCGACUGACGCUGAGGCACGAAAGCGUGGGGAUCGAACAGGAUUAGAUACCCGUGUAGUC